rnacentral:rRNA from 1 species
GACGAACGCUGGCGGCGUGGAUUAGGCAUGCAAGUCGAACGGUAUCAUCCUUUCGGGGGUGAGAGAGUGGCGAACUGGUGAGUAACACGUAGGUUAUCUACCCUCAAGACGGGGACAACCCAGGGAAACUUGGGCUAAUACCGGAUGUGAGCAACUUUUAGUUGUUUGAAAGGUGGCGUAAGCUGUCGCUUGGGGAUGAGCCUGCGUCCUAUUAGUUAGUUGGUGAGGUAACGGCUCACCUAGGCAAUGAUAGGUAGGCGGCCUUAACGGGUGGUCGCCCACACUGGGAUUGAGAUACGGCCCAGACUCCUACGGGAGGCAGCAGUCGAGAAUAGUCUACAAUGGUCGGAAGACUGAUAGUGCGACGCCGCGUGAACGAUGAAUCCCUUCGGGUGUAAAGUUCUUUUAUAUGUGAGCAGUGCUUCUUAUAUUAACAGUAUGGGGAGAGAGAUAUUAGCAUAUGAAUAAGCAACGGCUAACUCCGUGCCAGCAGCCGCGGUAAUACG